rnacentral:rRNA from 1 species
UACAGAGGGGCAAGCGUUGUUCGGAAUUACUGGGCGUAAAGGGCGCGUAGGCGGCCUGUUAAGUCGAACGUGAAAUCCCCGGGCUCAACCCGGGAACUGCGUCCGAAACUGGCAGGCUUGAAUUCGGGAGAGGGAUGCGGAAUUCCAGGUGUAGCGGUGAAAUGCGUAGAUAUCUGGAGGAACAUCGGUGGCGAAGGCGGCAUCCUGGACCGAUAUUGACGCUGAGGAGCGAAAGCUAGGGGGANCAAACGGGAUUAGAA